rnacentral:rRNA from 1 species
AGUGAACGCUGGCGGUAGGCCUAACACAUGCAAGUCGAACGGCAGCACAGUAAGAGCUUGCUCUUACGGGUGGCGAGUGGCGGACGGGUGAGGAAUACAUCGGAAUCUACUUUUUCGUGGGAGAUAACGUAGGGAAACUUACGCUAAUACCGCAUACGACCUACGGGUGAAAGCAGGGGAUCUUCGGACCUUGCGCGAUUGAAUGAGCCGAUGUCGGAUUAGCUAGUUGGCGGGGUAAAGGCCCACCAAGGCGACGAUCCGUAGCUGGUCUGAGAGGAUGAUCAGCCACACUGGAACUGAGACACGGUCCAGACUCCUACGGGAGGCAGCAGUGGGGAAUAUUGGACAAUGGGCGCAAGCCUGAUCCAGCCAUACCGCGUGGGUGAAGAAGGCCUUCGGGUUGUAAAGCCCUUCUGUUGGGAAAGAAAAGCAGCAGGUUAAUACCCCGCUGUUCUGACGGUACCCAAAGAAUAAGCACCGGCUAACUUCGUG